rnacentral:lncRNA from 1 species
GAGAGCUUGAAGCAAAGACAUAAUAAAACAGUAACAGCUGCUACCGAAGCUGUGUCAUGCAACUUUGCUUAGCCCUUUACUGUAUGGUCUCAUUUAUUCCUUAAGGAAGGUGAGAUUAUAAUAGAAAAGGAAAAUGAAUGUGCCGCAGUCACACAAAUCACUCACUACUACACUGCCACCAGAGCCCAACAGAGUAGCCACAAUUGUUUUCUUCCUAAAAGGUGCAAUGGAGUAAUACUGCACAAUUUCCAUUUAGAUGUCCCUUCAACACGUUUCCUGGGAAUCUUAGAGCAGUUAACACCCAUUUAGAAAGGAGCUUUUUCAUUUCGUAAAUAUGUUCAGUGCACCAAAACAGGCAAACAAGAUAACCCGAACUCUUAACUUGCCUCAGCACCUCACCCCUUAAGAUACAUAGAAACAAAUCAGAAAUUAUGCUCAAUAAGGAAUUUGCAAGGCUGAGGAGGGGGAGCUGGAGUCAAAUCAGCUGGGUCUUCCGCCCCCUUCAGUAGGAGGGGGAAGAUUACUGCAGAGAAUGUAACAAGGAGAAUAAGAGAGAGGGAGGGAGGGGGAAGAGAGAGAGAGAGGGAGGGGGGUGGAGAAAGAGAGAGACAGAGAAGGAAAGGAAGAAAGAAAAAGAGAGAGAAUAACUGUUGCCACCACCAUUUUGUUGCCUGGCAGAGGUGUGAGAUGCAAGGCUGUUUACAAAGCCCCCAGCAAGAGCAAUCCCAUCAUCAGGAGGUUUGCUUCCCCCCCGGGCCAGCCCUCUCGCUCUCCAUGCCCGUCUUGGCUGCAUGCGUUGUACCUAACACAUUUAACCCGCGUUUCUUAAGAGUUCUGCAAAAUGGUGUCUGCUGGUGUUUGCAAGGGAAGCUCCCGCUGGGCGUCCCGAGCUGGGUGGGAGCUGAGUGUGCGGUUCCCUAACGAGCUGGCGGCCGGCCUGAGCGGCUCUGAUCUCCAAUUCUGACGGCUUGUCCUUCAGGUGACCUAUAUUAUCUGGCACCUCAGUUGCUGCUCACAAAGAAAAAGUAUCACUGGAAGAAAGAAAAAAAAAAUCCCAAGUGAUUGUGUACAUGCUCUUUAUUGAGAAUAU